UGGGGAAUAUUGGACAAUGGGCGCAAGCCUGAUCCAGCCAUGCCGCGUGAGUGAUGAAGGCCUUAGGGUUGUAAAGCUCUUUCGCCGGUGAAGAUAAUGACGGUAACCGGAGAAGAAGCCCCGGCUAACUUCGUGCCAGCAGCCGCGGUAAUACGAAGGGGGCUAGCGUUGCUCGGAAUCACUGGGCGUAAAGCGCACGUAGGCGGAUCGUUAAGUCAGGGGUGAAAUCCUGGAGCUCAACUCCAGAACUGCCCUUGAUACUGGCGAUCUCGAGUUCGAGAGAGGUUGGUGGAACUCCGAGUGUAGAGGUGAAAUUCGUAGAUAUUCGGAAGAACACCAGUGGCGAAGGCGGCCAACUGGCUCGAUACUGACGCUGAGGUGCGAAAGCGUGGGGAGCAAAACAGGAUUAGAUACCCUGGUAGUCCACGCCGUAAAACGAUGGAUGCUAGCCGUUGGGGGGUUUACCUCUCAGUGGCGCAGCUAACGCCUUAAGCAUCCCGCCUGGGGAGUACGGUCGCAAGAUUAAAACUCAAAUGAAUUGACGGGGUCAUAGCUGUUUUCCU
rnacentral:rRNA from 1 species